AACUACUAGGGGAGCCUUUAUUGGCUGAGAUGACGAAAUUAGUCAGACCCUUAUAACCUGAUUUGGUUAGAACCAACGUAGGAAAGUAGCAA
rnacentral:ncRNA from 1 species